CUUUAUCAGUGUCCGCAAAUUUGACUACCAGGCUGGACGAGGCGCCCUGGAGGGACACAUACAUGUACAAGUCUACAGGUAUCACGCGUAGACACAGCAGGAGGCAUGAAUAUGCUUUAGGUGAGUGGCCAAUAAGAAAAACUCAUCCAUAUAAUGCAUUGGUGAAAUCGUAUUAAAAGUGCACGCCUGUGCUCCCAAAGUGACUUUGAAUGUCAUGCAGGAUGAAGUGGGCAUAAUGCAUACAUCAGAGUGGCCUUGGUGGAGGAUGAUUUGAACGGGCAUACAGUCUGGCUUUGGAACAGGAUUAUCCUUCCCGAGGCAACCACCCUCCAGAGUGUUGACAUUCAGGGAUGGUCGAGGACAGGCGUAAACAACACGAACAUCAGAAAUAUUGUUUUAAUCGAUCAUCGGGCUCCAAAGUGGAACACUGGACAGGGGAGGAGCAGGUUGAGCACCAGCGACUGAUGGCUGGAGGAACAGGUGGCGCAUGAAGACCUUCAGGGCUGCACGCACAGGAAAGCAAUGCUGAGCCCACACUCACUUCUCCCACAAGAGCACUUGACCAUGUGCUGAUCAAUAAGAUCAUGAACUGUAGCCACUGACUUACAUAUCAUACAUAAUCUGCCUGCCUUGUGAACAGAUUAUUUUUUUACUGAGAGUGAACUGAUUGUCAAUUCAAUGCUACUGAUGCCUGUGUGUAUGUGUGAAGUGUGUGUGUGCGCACGCGUAUGAUUUGAAAUUAAAUAUAAGAUUACGACAAAAUUAACAACCAGUCAAAAAUAGUGUCAAUCACAAUCAGCACUAGCAGUGUCAUAUUAUUUUUAUUUAUUUAUUUAUUUUUAAAUAAGCACUGCCUUUUUGCUGAUAAUAAGAAAAGAAACCAGCUUAUGAUACCAUUGAUAGUGCUGGCACUGUGACCUGAAUUCUAGUCCCAUGAAAUUCAAGUAAGACUAUCAAAAAGGACCGAAAAUUAGUAAUAAUGGUGAUACUAAUAACAACAACUUUUCAUUGUAUUUUAAUAAUUAUUAGAUUUCACUUAACCACAAUAAAGUAAAAUAAAAGACUAAUGGAAACAAUAGUGCAAUUGAAGGCUUGUAAUAAAUAACAGGUGAAACAUCCCAAUGCAAGUAGGAAUAAAGACUAAUGUGUCAUUAUAUUACA